GGGGAUGUUGACGCUGUGCAAUCCUUGCUGAAAAUCCUUAGAGGCUGAAUUCUCCAGCUGCUUUUAUAUGGGAGUUGGGAAUUUUGGGGCACUGUAGAAGGGCAAUGAAGUGAACUCUCACCCACUCAGAGAUUACAGAAGCACAGACAGUUGAAUUUAACUCAGAUACACAAUUCACAAGAAGAGGAUCCACUGCUUGUUGAUCCAUUUCCCAGCCUGGGAAGAAAGGAGCUCCGUGGAGCCUGAUGCAGACGAGACCUUCAACCUGGCCCCAUCUACCAGCUGAUACCCCAGGGGAAAGAGGCACUUUGGGGAGAUGAGUCCAGCAGAUAAUUGUACCCCACCUCAGCUGAAGAGAACAAACUGAGAGAAGAAGGUCUAAGAAAGAAAGAACAGAGGUGAGGCUGAGUCUGAAGGCGGGAGAGAGAGAUACAAUAAAGAUCUUGCAGGAAAAAAUUCUGAAAGCAGAGAAUAAGUUGUAAUAAAGACAGUAGUGGCUAUGAUGAUUCUAACCUUAAAGAGUCUGGAAAAUUCUCUGGAUUGAGCACUUACUUCAUCCACGAAGCAGCAAAACAAACAUCUGGCCAUGCAGUUUCCACACCUUCAGGGAUCCCCAAUAUUUCCAUAUUCCUUCACUGAAGUUUAUUUUCCUUGCCAUCCUAUUUAUUUUUAAAAGCUUAGUCUGCUUUAAUUUACAGGAACUCCUCACUUAAUGUCAUCCCGGUUAACGUUGUUUCGAAGUUAAAU